AUUGAACGCUGGCGGCAUGCUUUACACAUGCAAGUCGAACGGUAACAGGCCUUCGGGUGCUGACGAGUGGCGAACGGGUGAGUAAUGCAUCGGAACGUGCCCAAUCGUGGGGGAUAACGUAGCGAAAGUUACGCUAAUACCGCAUAAGCCCUGAGGGGGAAAGUGGGGGACCGCAAGGCCUCACGCGAAUGGAGCGGCCGAUGUCAGAUUAGCUAGUUGGUGAGGUAAAGGCUCACCAAGGCGACGAUCUGUAGCGGGUCUGAGAGGAUGAUCCGCCACACUGGAACUGAGACACGGUCCAGACUCCUACGGGAGGCAGCAGUGGGGAAUUUUGGACAAUGGGCGCAAGCCUGAACCAGCCAUGCCGCGUGAGUGAAGAAGGCCUCGGUU
rnacentral:rRNA from 1 species